GACGAACGCUGGCGGCGUGCCUAAUACAUGCAAGUCGAGCGAAGCAUAGGCGUCAAUUCUUCGGAUGCGAGGCCUAUGACUUAGCGGCGAACGGGUGAGUAACGCGUGGGUAACCUGCCCUCUAGACUGGGAUAACAGUUCGAAAGGGCUGCUAAUACCGGAUGAGAUUACCGAACCGCCUGGUUUGGUAAUGAAAGUGUUUAGCGCUAGAGGAUGGACCCGCGUCCCAUUAGCUAGUUGGUGAGGUAAGGGCUCACCAAGGCGACGAUGGGUAGCCGGCCUGAGAGGGUGACCGGCCACACUGGGACUGAGACACGGCCCAGACUCCUACGGGAGGCAGCAGUAGGGAAUCUUGCGCAAUGGGGGGAACCCUGACGCAGCGACGCCGCGUGAGCGACGAAGGCCUUCGGGUCGUAAAGCUCUGUCCUAUGGGAAGAUAGUGACGGUACCAUAGGAGGAAGCCCGGCCGUAACUACGUG
rnacentral:rRNA from 1 species